GUUGACCUCGGAUCAGGUAGGGAUACCCGCUGAACUUAAGCAUAUCAAUAAGCGGAA
rnacentral:rRNA from 1 species